GACGAACGCUGGCGGCGUGCUUAACACAUGCAAGUCGAACGGAAAGGCCCUGCUUGCAGGGUACUCGAGUGGCGAACGGGUGAGUAACACGUGGGUGAUCUGCCCUGCACUUCGGGAUAAGCCUGGGAAACUGGGUCUAAUACCGGAUAGGACCAUCGUUUAGUGUCGGUGGUGGAAAGUUUUUCGGUGCAGGAUGAGCUCGCGGCCUAUCAGCUUGUUGGUGGGGUAAUGGCCUACCAAGGCGUCGACGGGUAGCCGGCCUGAGAGGGUGGACGGCCACAUUGGGACUGAGACACGGCCCAGACUCCUACGGGAGGCAGCAGUGGGGAAUAUUGCACAAUGGGCGCAAGCCUGAUGCAGCGACGCCGCGUGGGGGAUGAAGGCCUUCGGGUUGUAAACUCCUUUCAACCAUGACGAAGCAUUAUGUGACGGUAGUGGUAGAAGAAGCACCGGCUAACUACGUGCCAGCCGCCGCCGUAACAC
rnacentral:rRNA from 1 species